UGUCACCUGAAGAGCCAGAGAAAACAGAUCCCAGAAAGCUGAGUAGCAUGUUGGGAGUUUGCUCUCACCUGUGAGCUGGGGUUCCUGUCCUGUGUCCCUCAGAAUGAACAGGAAGCCAUUGUUGCCUCCAACUCAACCCGACUUCAUGCUUCCUGGGAAUCCCGUGGCUGUUUUCUGUUCUUCUCUUUCCCGGCCCCACGUGUUCCUCCCAGUGUCCAUGCCCAGCCUGUGUAUUGUUGAAGCCAGCGACAGCAUAAAGCAUGGUUUCUCUCAGAGAUCUUUAUCUUUUCUGCUGCAUUAGCCCUGAAUAAAUGGCUUUAUCACUUUUUAAGGA